rnacentral:sRNA from 1 species
GGUUAAUUAUAUCACUACCUUUAUAUUUUUUUUAUAUGUACAAAGUCAUCAUUAUUGUAGCCCUUCUAGUUUCAUAGAUAUUAGCUAUAGAUGGCAUAUCUUGAUGUUCAGUAAUGCAAUUAUUAUUGGAAAUAUGUAAAAUUUGAAGAGGGCAAAAGUUGUAUAGAAAAAGAUAGAUAUAAUUAGCAAAUUAAGGUUAAAGGUUUCGUUCAGUAGACAUUAUAUUACAGACUUACAAACUUGUACAUUUCUCUCCUGUUUUAUGCUCAACUUAAUAUGUGCAAAGAAGCAGAACAAUGUGAAUCAAAUCAAAUAUAAUUUUUUGUGUUUUGUUUGGUUUCUGUAGCAACUAUUUUAUGAGUUGUAUCUCUUAAAAGAAAAUGAAAACAAAAUGCUUCUGUGAUAAUUACAUGUAUAACAUUAUAUGUUUAUUUCAUGAAAUAAAUUUCCUUAUGACUAAAAG